rnacentral:lncRNA from 1 species
AGGGAGCAGCAGGUGGCGGCGGUGCAUGGGGCCUGGCCCCACCAGCGGGCACUGGCCCACAGCCACGGCCGGGGGGCCAUCUAGCUGGAGAGAGAAGGGACAGCAACUCCAUCCGCUCCUGCAACUGCCGGACGUGUGCCUCUAGGUCCCGGUUCCGAGCCUCUGCCUCGCGUAGUUGACUGUGGGGAGGUAAGGACGGUGAGUCCGUCCGGGCCGGACGAGAGGGGAUGCCAAGGGUUGCCACCGGCCCGCAUCCCGGCCCCGGCCCCGGCCCCGAUCCCGACCUGGCGAAGUUCUGGUUGUCCGUGCGGAUGGCCUCCAUCUCCCGGCUCAGGCUCUGCCGGGUGAGCACCUCCUCCUCCAGGGCUUCCUGGAGCUCCCGCAGCGUCACCUCGGCCUCAGCCUCUGCCGCAGGGACAGCCGCUGGAACUGCCACUUCAGCCUGUGUAUGGGGACCAGGCUUAAGGCUGCCUGUGGCUCCUGGAAGACUCAGGACUUGGGCACUGGUUCCAGGCUAGGAAUCCUUGUUUAUCCCCUACUCCUCCGUCCCCUCAACAUUUCUGGAAUCCCCAUAGCUCCUGCAAUGAUCCAAGCCCCCUCCCUUCCCUACCUCCCUCAGCCCCAUCCCUGAGUCUGGUCCUCUAAAUCUACACAGGGACCAGAGGGCUGGUGCUCAAACACUAACACAACCUAUGUCCCUCUGCUGCUCAAAAUCCCUCCAGCUCCCUAAUGCCCUCACGACAAAAGGCCUUGCUGGGUUUUGUUUCCUGCUGGCCUCUCCAGCCUUCUCAGGAAUGAUUCAGCCAAACUACCUUUCAGGAACAAAUCAGGAUUCCCACCUGCCCAAGGCCUUUGCCCUGGAGGCUCUCGCCUGACCACUUGGCACCUUUCCUUCCAUGGCUUGUUUCUCCUUCACCAGCGCUCAGCUCAAAGAUCGACUUCUCAGAUCCCCAGCAACACACACACCCUUACUUAAUGCCCCACUGUAACUACAGAGACCGUCCCAUGUCUGAAGUAACCUCGUCUCUCCGUGGUUUCUGUCUGCUUCUGUUCAGGAAGUCCCUAGAGGGCUCUACAGUGCACGCCACCCGGGAAGCCCUCACCUUUUCUCUCCCAAUUGUCCCUGACGGACCCCCUCCCCUCCACCAACUUACUGUUUCAUCCUGUGGGGACACCGAGGGCUCCAGGCUGGGCGCUUGCACGUGUGGCUCAAGCAGCUGCUCGGCCUCCAGUUCCAUGGGUGUGGGGCCUGGGACCUCACUGUCCCUGGGGAGAGGAGGAGGGAGUGGGGAGGGAGACAGAAUGCUGAUUCUCUGGUGGAGAACCAGAACUUCUGGCCUGUGGGUAGGGGCAGCUGCUUCCAAGACCUCCUGAUUUGAGGAAGGGGAGCAGCAGAGCGAAGAGAACAGAGUCCCAGGUAGGCCAAUAGCCCCUCCUCUGCUUAGGAAAAGCCCUGCCCCUCUCCUGGCCUUGGGCCCCUGGGAGCUGCUCUUUCUAAACCUUCUGCAGGGACUUGGGGUCCAGACCCCCAUGUUCUAGGGUCAGCUCAUCUCCUCCCUUGACAUGUGACCGCUGCAGACCCCUCUUCUCAGGGCCUCAGGACAGGGAGGCCGACCUGAUGGGGAGACUGCUUGGCUCUGGCCACCUCCACAGAUGUGGUCCUAAGACUGGGCAUGGGACCCCAAGAUGGCAACUUGAGGUCAGCACACCCCACUCAGCUGUGGGAAGGGGACAGCUCCUCCCUGGGGUAUGAAGUGGCUGUCCCCUCCAACCCAGCAGUCCCUCCUGUGGGAACACGGCUCAGGACCUAGCUAUCCUGGACAUGCGCCUGGGUUCUAAUAGAGGAUGGGUUCAAUCCUGACCCACCGUUCAGGCCCCGCAGCGGUUCAGAAUCAAGCUGGAGUUCAUUAAUGAUAAGGUAUAGUAUGUGUAAUGUUGUCCAGUAAUAAAAGCUGACUAGAAAACCAACUGUUCUCUUAGACAAAGUAGCAUGAGGAAGGGGAAAAAAACAAACCAAAAAAACACCUGUUCUCCACUAUUUAAACAUGUGUCAGUACACGUGUGAGCCAGGGACCACUGCCAUCUGGUGAGCUCACGAGAUAUCAACUUCCUUUUCCUUAUCUGUAUUUUCUAAUUUACUUGUGAUAAGCAAUGCAUUAUUUGUGUAAUUAAUACUUUUGUUGAGACCAGGUCUCACUUUGUUGCCUAGGCUGGAAUCUAUCAUGGCUCACUGAAGCCUCAAACUCCAGGCUCAAGUGAUUCUCCUACUUCAGACUCCUGAGUAGCUAGGACUGCAGGCACAGACCACCAUGCCUGGCACGAUUUUUUCAAUUUUUUGUAGAGACAGGGUCUCAUUAUGUUGCUCAGGCUGGUCUUGAACUCCUGGGCUGAAGCAAUCCGUCCACUUCAGCCUCCCAAAGUGCUGGGAUUCCAAGCGUGAGCCACCAUGCCCAGCCUGUAAAUUAGUACUUUUUUUUUUUUUUUUUUGAGAUGAAGUUUCACUCUUGUUGCCCAGGCUGGAAUGCAAUGGCACGAUCUCAGCUCACCACAACCUCCCCCUCCUGGGUUCUGAUUCUCCUGCCUCAGCCUCCUGAGUAGCUGGGAUUACAGGUAUAUGCCACCACGCCUGGCUAAUUUUGUUUUUUAGUAGAGAUGAGGUUUCUCCACGUUGGUCAGGCUGGUCUCGAACUCCUGACCUCAGGUGAUCCACCCACCUCAUCCUCCCAAAGCACUGGAAUUACAGGCGUGAGCCACCACACCCGGCCUAAAUAAAUACUUUUUUUUUUUUUUUUUUGAGACGGAGUCUUGCUCUGUCGCCCAGGCUGGAGUGCAGUGGCAUGAUCUCGGCUCACUGCAAGCUCCGCCUCCCGGGUUCAUGCCAUUCUCCUGCCUCGCCUCCCAAGUAGCUGGGACCGCAAGCGCCCGCCACCAUGCCCGGCUAAUUUUUUUGUAUUUUUAGUAGAGACGGGGUUUCACCGUGUUAGCCAGGAUGGUCUCGAUCUCCUGACCUCAUGAUCCACCUGCCUUGGCCUCCCAAAGUGCUAGGAUUACAGGCGUGAGCCACCGCGGCCCGCCUAAAUUAAUACUUUUAAAUGGCCUUAUUGUUAUAUGGCUGAUUCAAAGAAUUUGCAUUCUUUUACAACUGAUUGUAAAAGUCUAAACUUCAUAUUUUCCAAGUUCUGAAGUCCUGUGGCUCUGUGUACUACAGACGUAAAAGUUAAUGGUUACAAGAUUCUGGGAAGCCCAGUCUGUGACUCUGAGGUUUUAAAAUUCAAUCUAACAUUUUGAAGUACAUAGAUCUGAAAAUUUAAGGUCCUCCAACUCUGGCCUCUUAGGAGUCUUUGGGCCCAAAACAGUAAGGUUCCAAGACUGAUCCUGCAACUCCAUUGGCUGCCAAGGAGCAGGACCCAGGAAGCUCAAGCAGCCUCGUGGCCCC